AUUGAACGCUGGCGGCAGGCCUAACACAUGCAAGUCGAACGAGUGGCGGACGGGUGAGUAAUGUCUGGGAAACUGCCCGAUGGAGGGGGAUAACUACUGGCAACGGUAGCUAAUACCGCAUACCAUCGGAUGUGCCCAGAUGGGAGUAGCUAGUAGGUGGGGUAACGGCUCACCUAGGCUACGAUCCCUAUCUGGUCUGAGAGGAUGACCAGCCGCCCUGGAACUGAUACACGGGCCAUACUCCUACGGGAGGCAGCAGUGGGGAAUGUUGCACAAUGGGCGCAAGCCGGAUGCAACCAUGCCGCGUGUAUGAAUAAGGCAGUCGGGUUGUAAAGUACUUUCAGAGAGGAGGCGUUACUCGCAGAAGAAGCACCGGCUAACUCCGUGCCAGCAGCCGCGGUAAUAC
rnacentral:rRNA from 1 species